CGCCAUAUGAUUUGUAACUCU
rnacentral:miRNA from 1 species